rnacentral:tRNA from 1 species
GCCUGGCUGGCGCGGGUGGUAGAGCGUAAGACUCUUGAUCUCAGGGUCGUGUGUUCGAUUCCCAUGUUGGGCA